AUACGGAGGGAGCAAGCGUUAUUCGGAAUCACUGGGCGUAAAGGACGCGUAGGCGGGUUUGUAAGUCAGGUGUGAAAUCCUACAGCUCAACUGUAGAACUGCACUUGAAACUACAGACCUAGAGUAUGGAAGGGGCAGAUGGAAUUAGUGGUGUAGGGGUAAAAUCCGUAGAUAUCACUAGGAAUACCGAAGGCGAAGGCGAUCUGCUGGGACAUUACUGACGCUGAGGCGUGAAAGCGUGGGGAGCAAACAGGAUUAGAAACCCCGGUAGUCC
rnacentral:rRNA from 1 species